UAAUACGGAGGAUCCAAGCGUUAUCCGGAAUCAUUGGGUUUAAAGGGUCCGUAGGUGGAUAAUUAAGUCAGAGGUGAAAGUUUGCGGCUCAACCGUAAAAUUGCCUUUGAUACUGGUUAUCUUGAAUCAUUGUGAAGUGGUUAGAAUAUGUAGUGUAGCGGUGAAAUGCAUAGAUAUUACAUAGAAUACCAAUUGCGAAGGCAGAUCACUAACAAUGUAUUGACACUGAUGGACGAAAGCGUGGGGAGCGAACGGGAUUAGAUACCCCGGUAGUCCACGCCGUAAACGAUGGUCACUAGCUGUUCGGACUUCGGUCUGAGUGGCUAAGCGAAAGUGAUAAGUGACCCACCUGGGGAGUACGUUCGCAAGAAUG
rnacentral:rRNA from 1 species